UGGACAGGGAGGCCUGGCGUGCUGCGAUUCAUGGGGUUGCAAAGAGUCAGACACGACUGAGCGACUGAUCUGAUCUGAUCUGGGCUUCUGGGUUUCAGAUCAUCAUUGGAAAGAAUGACAGAAGUAUUCUCAUCUACAUCACUGCCAUCUUACUGGUGAAGAGUGGGAACAAAGUGAAAGAAACUGUCAGGCUCUUUGUGACCCCAUGGACUAUAGCCCACCAGGCUCCUCUGUCCAUGGGAUUUCCCAGCUUCAGCAAUACGUGAACCGUGAACUUCCAGAUGUUCAAGCUGGUUUUAGAAAAGGCAGAGGAACCAGAGAUCAAAUUGCCAACAUCUGCUGAAUCAUGGAAAAAGCAAGAGAGUUCCAGAAAAACAUCUGCUUUAUUGACUAAGCCAAAUUCUUUGACUGUGUGGAUCACAAUAAACUGUGGAAAAUUCUGAAAGAGAUGGGAAUACCAGACCACCUGACCUGACUCUUGAGAAACCUAUAUGCAGAUCAGGAAGC
ensembl:lncRNA